rnacentral:rRNA from 1 species
UAAUACGUAGGGUGCGAGCGUUAAUCGGAAUUACUGGGCGUAAAGCGUGCGCAGGCGGUUAUAUAAGACAGUUGUGAAAUCCCCGGGCUCAACCUGGGAAUUGCAUCUGUGACUGUAUAGCUAGAGUACGGUAGAGGGGGAUGGAAUUCCGCGUGUAGCAGUGAAAUGCGUAGAUAUGCGGAGGAACACCGAUGGCGAAGGCAAUCCCCUGGACCUGUACUGACGCUCAUGCACGAAAGCGUGGGGAGCAAACAGGAUUAGAUACCCUGGUAGUCCACGCCCUAAACGAUGUCAACUGGUUGUUGGGUGCAUUAGUACUCAGUAACGAAGCUAACGCGUGAAGUUGACCGCCUGGGGAGUACGGCCGCAAGGUUG